GAUGAACGCUAGCGGCAGGCUUAAUACAUGCAAGUCGAGGGGCAGCAGGGGUAGCAAUACUCGCUGGCGACCGGCAAACGGGUGCGGAACACGUACAGAACCUUCCUCUGAGUGGGAGAUAGCCCGGAGAAAUCCGGAUUAAUACCCCAUAGUAAUUUAGGGUGGCAUCACUUUAGAUUUAAAGAUUUAUUGCUUAGAGAUGGCUGUGCGUAUGAUUAGGUAGUUGGUGAGGUAACGGCUCACCAAGCCUACGAUCAUUAACUGGUGUGAGAGCACGACCAGUCACACGGGCACUGAGACACGGGCCCGACUCCUACGGGAGGCAGCAGUAAGGAAUAUUGGUCAAUGGACGCAAGUCUGAACCAGCCAUGCCGCGUGGAGGAUUAAGGCCCUCUGGGUUGUAAACUCCUUUUAUCUGGGAAGAAAUGCAUUUUUUCUAAAGUGCUUGACGGUACCAGAGGAAUAAGCACCGGCUAACUCCGUGCCAGCCGCCG
rnacentral:rRNA from 1 species